GACGAACGCUGGCGGCGUGCCUAAUACAUGCAAGUCGAACGCACUCUCGUUUAGAUUGAAGGAGCUUGCUCCUGAUUGAUAAACAUUUGAGUGAGUGGCGGACGGGUGAGUAACACGUGGGUAACCUGCCCUAAAGUGGGGGAUAACAUUUGGAAACAGAUGCUAAUACCGCAUAAAACCUAAACACCGCAUGGUGUAGGGUUGAAAGAUGGUUUCGGCUAUCACUUUAGGAUGGACCCGCGGUGCAUUAGUUAGUUGGUGAGGUAAAGGCUCACCAAGACCGUGAUGCAUAGCCGACCUGAGAGGGUAAUCGGCCACACUGGGACUGAGACACGGCCCAGACUCCUACGGGAGGCAGCAGUAGGGAAUCUUCCACAAUGGACGAAAGUACUGAUGGAGCAACGCCGCGUGAGUGAAGAAGGUUUUC
rnacentral:rRNA from 1 species